GACGAACGCUGGCGGCGCGCCUAACACAUGCAAGUCGAACGAGAGAUGAGGAGCUUGCUCUUCAAAUCGAGUGGCGAGCGGGUGAGUAACGCGUGAGGAACCUGCCUCAAAGAGGGGGACAACAGUUGGAAACGACUGCUAAUACCGCAUAAGCCCACGGCUCGGCAUCGAGCAGAGGGAAAAGGAGCAAUCCGCUUUGAGAUGGCCUCGCGUCCGAUUAGCUAGUUGGUGAGGUAACGGCCCACCAAGGCGACGAUCGGUAGCCGGACUGAGAGGUUGAACGGCCACAUUGGGACUGAGACACGGCCCAGACUCCUACGGGAGGCAGCAGUGGGGAAUAUUGCACAAUGGGGGAAACCCUGAUGCAGCGACGCCGCGUGGAGGAAGAAGGUCUUCGGAUUGUAAACUCCUGUUGUUGAGGAAGAUAAUGACGGUACUCAACAAGGAAGUGACGGCUAACUACGUGCCAGCAGCCGCGGUAAAACGUAGGUCACAAGCGUUGUCCGGAAUUACUGGGUGUAAAGGGAGCGCAGGCGGGAGAACAAGUUGGAAGUGAAAUCCAUGGGCUCAACCCAUGAACUGCUUUCAAAACUGUUUUUCUUGAGUAGUGCAGAGGUAGGCGGAAUUCCCGGUGUAGCGGUGGAAUGCGUAGAUAUCGGGAGGAACACCAGUGGCGAAGGCGGCCUACUGGGCACCAACUGACGCUGAGGCUCGAAAGUGUGGGUAGCAAACAGGAUUAGAUACCCUGGUAGUCCACACCGUAAACGAUGAUUACUAGGUGUUGGAGGAUUGACCCCUUCAGUGCCGCAGUUAACACAAUAAGUAAUCCACCUGGGGAGUACGACCGCAAGGUUGAAACUCAAAGGAAUUGACGGGGGCCCGCACAAGCAGUGGAGUAUGUGGUUUAAUUCGACGCAACGCGAAGAACCUUACCAAGUCUUGACAUCCUGCGACGCACAUAGAAAUAUGUGUUUCCUUCGGGACGCAGAGACAGGUGGUGCAUGGUUGUCGUCAGCUCGUGUCGUGAGAUGUUGGGUUAAGUCCCGCAACGAGCGCAACCCUUAUGGUCAGUUACUACGCAAGAGGACUCUGGCCAGACUGCCGUUGACAAAACGGAGGAAGGUGGGGAUGACGUCAAAUCAUCAUGCCCUUUAUGACUUGGGCUACACACGUACUACAAUGGCGUUAAACAAAGAGAAGCAAGACCGCGAGGUGGAGCAAAACUCAGAAACAACGUCCCAGUUCGGACUGCAGGCUGCAACUCGCCUGCACGAAGUCGGAAUUGCUAGUAAUCGUGGAUCAGCAUGCCACGGUGAAUACGUUCCCGGGCCU
rnacentral:rRNA from 1 species